rnacentral:rRNA from 1 species
AUGCAAGCCGAGCGGUAUUUGUCUUUCGGGACAGAGAGAGCGGCGUACGGGUGCGGAACACGUGUGCAACCUGCCUUUAUCUGGGGGAUAGCCUUUCGAAAGGAAGAUUAAUACCCCAUAAUAUAUUGACUGGCAUCAGUUGAUAUUGAAAACUCCGGUGGAUAGAGAUGGGCACGCGCAAGAUUAGAUAGUUGGUGAGGUAACGGCUCACCAAGUCUACGAUCUUUAGGGGGCCUGAGAGGGUGAUCCCCCACACUGGUACUGAGACACGGACCAGACUCCUACGGGAGGCAGCAGUGAGGAAUAUUGGACAAUGGGUGCAAGCCUGAUCCAGCCAUCCCGCGUGAAGGAUGACGGCCCUAUGGGUUGUAAACUUCUUUUGUAUAGGGAUAAACCUAGAUACGUGUAUCUAGCUGAAGGUACUAUACGAAUAAGCACCGGCUAACUCCGUGCCAGCAGCCGCGGUAAUACGGAGGGUGCAAGCGUUAUCCGGAUUUAUUGGGUUUAAAGGGUCCGUAGGCUGAUGUGUAAGUCAGUGGUGAAAUCUCACAGCUUAACUGUGAAACUGCCAUUGAUACUGCAUGUCUUGAGUGUUGUUGAAGUAGCUGGAAUAAGUAGUGUAGCGGUGAAAUGCAUAGAUAUUACUUAGAACACCAAUUGCGAAGGCAGGUUACUAAGCAACAACUGACGCUGAUGGACGAAAGCGUGGGGAGCGAACAGGAUUAGAUACCCUGGUAGUCCACGCCGUAAACGAUGCUAACUCGUUUUUGGAUUUUCGGAUUCAGAGACUAAGCGAAAGUGAUAAGUUAGCCACCUGGGGAGUACGUUCGCAAGAAUGAAACUCAAAGGAAUUGACGGGGGCCCGCACAAGCGGUGGAUUAUGUGGUUU